AUGAACCUCACAGUUGGUGCAGACAGCACAGAGGCCGCGGAGCCGGCGGGAGCCGGGCGCGCCGCCGAGCCGCGCGCCAUGGGCAACAUCCAGAAGAAGCUGACGCGCAGGAGCGAGGGCGGCAAGCGGCAGGAGAAGGGCACGCCGCGGCGGGGCCGGGCGCCGGGGGCCGGCGCGGACCGCCCGCGCCCGCCGCCCCGGUGGGCCCCGCCGCCCUGAAGAGCCAGGGCAACGAGCUCUUUCAGAAUGGGCAGUUCUCCGAGGCGGCGCUCAAAUACUCGGCGGCGAUCGCGCAGCUGGAGCCCGCAGGAAGUGGAAGUGCAGCCGAUCUAAGUAUCUUCUAUUCAAAUAGAGCAGCAUGUUACCUCAAAGACGGAAACUGCAGUGGCUGCAUUCAGGAUUGUAACAGGGCCCUGGAACUUCAUCCAUUCUCCAUCAAGCCUCUUUUUCGACGUGCAAUGGCCUAUGAAGCUGUAGAGCAGUAUCAGAAAGCUUACGUGGAUUAUAAAACAGUGUUGCAAAUAGACUGUGGAAUCCAGAUAGCAAAUGACAGUUAACAGGAUAACAAAGAUUUCGAUCGCUCUGGAUGGCCCAAACUGGCGGGAGAAGCUGCCACCCAUUCCUGCUGUGCCCACCUCCGCACAAGUGCGGGCUUGGCGGCCUGCGGCAGAGACGCCCCCAGACCAAGUGGGAGAUUCCUGCCACCAUCCCCAGCCGGGCACACCAGGUGAAAAAGUAUUUAAAACCCUUAAAGAAGAAGGAAAUCAAUGUGUAAAAGACAAAAACUACAAAGAUGCUCUUAGUAAAUACAGUGAAUGCUUAAAGAUUAACAACAAGGAAUGUGCCAUUUAUACAAACAGAAUUAUCAGAAAAGUUUAAACGAUCUCAAUAAAGUUCUCCUACUAGACCCAAGUAUUGUUGAGGCAAAAAUGGAACUGGAAGAGGUAACCAGAAUCCUUAAUAUUAAGGACAAUACAGCAUCAUUCAACAAAGAAAAGGAGAGAAGGAAAAUUGAGAUUCAAGAGGUGAGUGAAGGCCAUCAGGAAGAGUCUGAGAGGACCGUGAAGGAAGCCCCCACGGACGGCCUUGCUUCUGAGAAGGGGGACACCAGUAAUGGGCCACAAGAACUCUAUGAGAAACUGCUGAUCUCCAGGCCUAACAAUGCCUACGAAUUUGGUCAGGUCAUAAACGCCAUCAGUACGAGGAAAGAUCAAGGAGCCUGUGCACACCUGCUAGCCAUCACUGAACCCAAAGAUUUGCCAGUGUUGUUGAGUAACAAACUUGAAGGGGACACGUUCCUCCUCCUCCUCCAGUCUCUGAAAAGUCAUCUUAUUGAUAAAGAUCCCUCCUUGGUGAAUCAGCAUCUUUUAUAUCUGAGCAAAGCAGAAAGGUUUAAGAUGAUGUUGACACUAAUUAGCAAAGACCAAAAGGAGCAGAUGAAGCGGCUCUUUGAUGACCUCUCAGAUGCACCAAACAAACACUUUACUUUAGAAGAUGUGCAGGCCCUCAAAAGGCACUAUGAUGUUUAAAUCAAGAUAAUGGUUAGAUUUCUUCCAUGUAUGUAUGUGUUCCGGUAAUGCCAGUGAGAUGGUAUUGUAAUAGAGUUGCAUGGAUAAAACCUGGCUUAGAAAAGAUCCCUUGGUCUGGACUAUAAAAUAUUUUACUUAUUUUUAUACACAGAACACGUAUAUUCUACAAUCUCCUUUUUAUUAGUUGUAAAUAUUUUCUUAUGUACCAGAGCUAACAUCUUUAUAUUUAAUAAUAAGUAUAUUUGGAACUUGUUAAGAUGCAUUUUAACUUAUACUAUACAUUUUCUCUUAAUGACUUGUUAAAAUUUUGAGUUAAAUUCUACUUCUUUGGGCUAUGAAGCAGUCCUCUUAAGUUUGGUAGAAAUGUCAUUUCUUUAUAGUUCAUUUUUAAAAGUGAAAAUCAUUAACAGUGAUUAUUACAUCACCUUUAUUUCCUGCUAAGAUAUAUAUAAAUCCCAUUUUAUAUUACUUGUGGAUGACAGGCCUCUAAGAUGAAACACAACAUUUAAGUCUAUAAUAGGAAAUGAUUAUUAAAUAAAUUUUGGUUAUUUAGAGCUAUAAGAGGAACGUAUUUUUUCUAAUAGGGAAGUAUUGCCUACUAAUUAAGAACAGAAAUUGCCAAAAAUUCUAUUACUAGAUUUUUGAAGGCUGGUUUCCCUUAUGUGUUGUUUAUAUAAGCAAUAACAGAACAGCCACUGUAUAAAAGCAACCAAGCCUGCAUUUCUAUUUGAAUUGUCACUUGCACAUUUCCCCCAAACAUUUUAAGUUACUUCUCCCUCUUUUGUUCCCUCCUCCUUUAAGCAUGAUCAUAUUUAUUCCCUUAGUGCAAAAGGGAAAAUGAAGAACUCUUUAUAUUGAGAGCUCACUUGUCACUUGGGUCAAAGUAAAGGUAUUUCUUAUAAUAAAACAUUCAGGUCUCUA